UACGUAGGGUGCGAGCGUUAAUCGGAAUUACUGGGCGUAAAGCGUGCGCAGGCGGUUCGUGAUGUCUGGUGUGAAAGCCCCGGGCUUAACCUGGGAAUUGCAUUGGAAACUAGCGGGCUGGAGUGUGGCAGAGGGGGGUGGAAUUCCACGUGUAGCAGUGAAAUGCGUAGAGAUGUGGAGGAACACCGAUGGCGAAGGCAGCCCCCUGGGCUAACACUGACGCUCAUGCACGAAAGCGUGGGGAGCAAGCAGG
rnacentral:rRNA from 1 species